UCAGAUUAAAAAAAAGUUCCCACGGCAGACUCAUGAGACACUAAGGUAAACACACGGGCCACUACAUUCUUAAAACGAGUUUAAAUGUUUCAAUUUUUAACUUCAGCAGUACAUUUUACUCAUGG